AUUCAACAUAUCCCCAGAUAGCUCAGAUCUGAGCGCACAUUAUUACUGAAUGGCGCUCAGAGCACACACAUACAGUUCAAUUGCCAUGGAGCCAAAGUCUUUCCCAUAGUCUUUCAUUAUACGAAUGGGCUCCAUGGCAUAGCUAUCUGGGAUAUCACCGCUCAAACAGGGCAAGCACCGAAUGACCCGGCUUUCGUCUCUUCG